rnacentral:rRNA from 1 species
GAUGAACGCUGGCGGCGUGCCUAAUACAUGCAAGUCGAGCGAAUGGAUUAAGAGCUUGCUCUUAUGAAGUUAGCGGCGGACGGGUGAGUAACACGUGGUAACCUGCCCAUAGGACUGGGAUAACUCCGGGAAACCGGGGCUAAUACCGGAUAACAUUUUGAACCGCAUGGUACGAAAUUGAAGGGCGGCUUCGGUUGUCACGUCUGGAUGGACCCGCGUCGCAUUAGCUAGUUGGUGAGGUAACGGCUCACCAAGGCUACGAUGCUUAGCCGACCUGAUAGGGUGAUCGGCCACACUCGGACUGAGACACGGCCCAGACUCCUACGGGAGGCAGCAGUAGGGAAUCUUCCGCAAUGGACGAAAGUCUGACGGAGCAACGCCGCGUGAGUGAUGAAGGCUUUCGGGUCGUAAAACUCUGUUGUUAGGGAAGAACAAGUGCUAGUUGAAUAAGCUGGCACCUUGACGGUACCUAACCAGAAAGCCACGGCUAACUACGUGCCAGCAGCCGCAGUAA